rnacentral:lncRNA from 1 species
AUGUUUCUCACUGUCAUAUGCUUUUCCUGCCUCUUGCAACUCUCUCCCUCUUUCUCCCUCCCCUUCCUCCUUCCUCCAUCCUUCUUUCUUUUCCUGCUCAUCCUCCUUUCUGCAGACUCUGAGCUCCAGGUAUGCAGAGUGGGUCCAGUUGGUGGAGGUCUGCCAGGCUGUCAUGUUUCAGUUCCAUCUCCAUCAUCACUAAGACAGAUAUUGAACGCAUGAGGAGGAGGAGGACGAGGAGUGCAGGUCCAUCCUGACCACACUGAAUCCAGACUGCCCUCAAUCCAUUAAGGACUGAAGAUUGUACCAGGCCAUGAAAUCAUCCAAAACUUAAGUUUUAAAAAUAUUUUCAUUAAUUAAAAACAAGCAUUAUCCAAGUUCUAAAGUAGCAGUACAU